UACAGAGGGGCAAGCGUUGUCCGGACUUACUGGGCGUAAAGGGCGCGUAGGCGGGGAGGUAAGUCGGGUGUGAAUCCCUCGGCCCAACCGAGGAACUGCGCCCGAGACUGCUUCUCUUGAGUCCCGGAGAGGAAGAUGGAAUUCCCGGUGUAGCGGUGAAAUGUGUAGAGAUCGGGAGGAACACCGGUGGCGAAGGCGGUCUUCUGGACGGUGACUGACGCUGAGGCGCGAAAGCGUGGGGAGCAAACGGG
rnacentral:rRNA from 1 species